rnacentral:rRNA from 1 species
GACGAACGCUGGCGGUGUGCUUCACACAUGCAAGUCGAACGGGGUAGCAAUACCAGUGGCGGACGGGUGAGUAACACGUAGGAAUCUGCCUCAGAGUGGGGAAUAACUGAUCGAAAGAUUAGCUAAUACCGCAUAUGUCGAAAGAUAAAAGGAGUAAUCCGCUUUGAGAUGAGCCUGCGUCCGAUUAGCUAGUUGGUAAGGUAAAGGCCUACCAAGGCGACGAUCGGUAGCUGGUCUGAGAGGAUGAUCAGCCACAAUGGAACUGAGACACGGUCCAUACUCCUACGGGAGGCAGCAGUGGGGAAUUUUACGCAAUGGGGGAAACCCUGACGUAGCGACACCGCGUGAGCGAAGAAGCCCUUUGGGGUGUAAAGCUCUGUUAGCAGGGACGAAUAAAUGACGGUACCUGCAGAGGAAGCAUCGGCUAACUACGUGCCAGCAGCCGCGGU